rnacentral:rRNA from 1 species
UACCGCAUACUACUCCCGGUGAGAUUCCGGGCAGUAAAAGCAGUAAUGCGCUGUGAGAGGGGCCCGCGGCCGAUUAGCUAGUUGGUGGGGUAAUGGCUCACCAAGGCGACGAUCGGUAGCUGGUCUGAGAGGAUGGUCAGCCACACGGGGACUGAGAUACGGCCCCGACUCCUACGGGAGGCAGCAGCUAAGAAUCUUGCGCAAUGGGCGAAAGCCUGACGCAGCAACGCCGCGUGGAGGACGAAGGCCCUCGGGUCGUAAACUCCUUUUUGCGAGGGGAAGAAGAUCUGACGGUACCUCGCGAAUAAGCCACGGCUAACUACGUGCCAGCAGCCGCGGUAAUACGUAGGUGGCGAGCGUUGUCCGGAUUUAUUGGGCGUAAAGAGCCCGCAGGCGGUUCAGCAAGUUUCAGGUGAAAUCUCCCCGGCUCAACUGGGAGGGUGCCUGGAAAACUGCUGGACUUGAGGCAGGGAGAGGGAUGUGGAAUUCCCGGUGUAGUGGUGAAAUGCGUAGAUAUCGGGA